rnacentral:rRNA from 1 species
UAAUACGGAGGAUGCAAGCGUUAUCCGGAUUCAUUGGGUUUAAAGGGUGCGCAGGCGGGGCAAUAAGUCAGUGGUGAAAUCCUGCGGCUUAACCGUAGAACUGCCAUUGAUACUGUUGCCCUUGAGUAUAGUUGAGGUGGGCGGAAUAUGUAAUGUAGCGGUGAAAUGCAUAGAUAUUACAUAGAACACCAAUUGCGAAGGCAGCUCACUAAGCUAUCACUGACGCUGAGGCACGAAAGCGUGGGGAGCGAACAGGAUUAGAUACCCUGGUAGUCCACGCCGUAAACGAUGAUCACUCGUUGUUGGCAAUAUAUCGUCAGCGACUGAGCGAAAGCAUUAAGUGAUCCACCUGGGGAGUACGAUCGCAAGAUUG